rnacentral:rRNA from 2 species
UAAUGACUUACAACUUUCAGCGGUGGAUGUCUAGGUUCCCACAACGAUGAAGAACGCAGCGAAAUGCGAUACGUAAUGCGAAUUGCAAGACCUCGUGAAUCAUUAAGAUUUUGAACGCACAUUGCGCUUUCGGGAUUUUCCUGAUAGCAUGCUUGUCUGAGUGUCUGUGGAU